AGGUCCCGCCUGCCCUGUGACUAUAUGUUUAACGGCCGCGGUAUUUUGACCGUGCGAAGGUAGCGCAAUCACUUGUCUUUUAAAUGGGGACCUGUAUGAAUGGCAUAACGAGGGCUUAACUGUCUCCUUUUUCAAGUCAGUGAAAUUGAUCUCCCCGUGCAGAAGCGGGGAUAGGCACAUAAGACGAGAAGACCCUGUGGAGCUUCAGACACUAAAGCAGAUCAGUAUUAAUACCCUGAACAUAAGGCACGAAUAAGAUGAUUCCUGCCCUAAUGUCUUCGGUUGGGGCGACCGCGGAGAAAUAUAUAACCCCCGCAAGGACUGAAUGUACUACAUUCACAACCAAGAGUGACAACUCUAAUUAACAGAACUUCUGACCAAUAAGAUCCGGCAAUGCCGAUUAAUGAACCAAGUUACCCCAGGGAUAACAGCGCAAUCUCCUCUUAGAGUCCAUAUCGACGAGGAGGUUUACGACCU
rnacentral:rRNA from 1 species